rnacentral:rRNA from 1 species
UACGUAGGGGCGCAAGCGUUGUCCGGAAUUAUUGGGCGUAAAGAGCUCGUAGGCGGUUUGUCGCGUCUGCUGUGAAAACCUAAGGCUCAACCUUGGGCUUGCAGUGGGUACGGGCAGACUAGAGUGCGGGUAGGGGUGACUGGAAUUCCUGGUGUAGCGGUGGAAUGCGCAGAUAUCAGGAGGAACACCGAUGGCGAAGGCAGGUCACUGGGCC